AGUCGAACGGUGACGACCANCUUGCUGGUCUGAUCAGUGGCGAACGGGUGAGUAACACGUGAGCAACCUACCCUUCACUCUGGGAUAAGCCUUGGAAACGGGGUCUAAUACCGGAUACGAGACGCACGGGCAUCUGUAGCGUCUGGAAAGAUUUAUCGGUGGGGGAUGGGCUCGCGGCCUAUCAGCUUGUUGGUGGGGUAAUGGCCUACCAAGGCGACGACGGGUAGCCGGCCUGAGAGGGCGACCGGCCACACUGGGACUGAGACACGGCCCAGACUCCUACGGGAGGCAGCAGUGGGGAAUAUUGCACAAUGGGCGCAAGCCUGAUGCAGCGACGCCGCGUGCGGGAUGACGGCCUUCGGGUUGUAAACCGCUUUCAGCAGGGAAGAAGCGCAAGUGACGGUACCUGCAGAAGAAGCGCCGGCUAACUACGUGCCAGCAGCCGCGGUAAUACGUAGGGCGCAAGCGUUGUCCGGAAUUAUUGGGCGUAAAGAGCUCGUAGGCGGUUUGUCGCGUCUGCUGUGAAAACCUCAGGCUCAACCUGGGGCUUGCAGUGGGUACGGGCAGACUAGAGUGCGGUAGGGGUGACUGGAAUUCCUGGUGUAGCGGUGGAAUGCGCAGAUAUCAGGAGGAACACCGAUGGCGAAGGCAGGUCACUGGGCCGCAACUGACGCUGAGGAGCGAAAGCAUGGGGAGCGAACAGGAUUAGAUACCCUGGUAGUCCAUGCCGUAAACGUUGGGCACUAGGUGUGGGGUCCAUUCCACGGAUUCCGUGCCGCAGCAAACGCAUUAAGUGCCCCGCCUGGGGAGUACGGCCGCAAGGCUAAAACUCAAAGAAAUUGACGGGGGCCCGCACAAGCGGCGGAGCAUGCGGAAUUA
rnacentral:rRNA from 1 species